rnacentral:rRNA from 1 species
CCUUGUACACACCGCCCGUCACACCACGGGAGUCGAUUGGUCCCGAAGUGCGUAAGCUAACCCGCAAGGAGGCAGCGUCCUAAGGAAUGGUCGGUGACUGGGGUG